GGGUAAGGAACAUGACCGCCCAACAUUGCCUGGCUUCAUCGGAUUUUUCCAUGAGGCCUUGGUGCAAACCUGCUUGAUUCCAGAACUCUUGUGUACUACAUGCCUGGAAAGUCAACACCACAUGGGCACUGCUUCCUGGCUCUACUGCAAGCUCCAGGGGAUACGAUGGGAAGCAAGGAUGAGACUCUACUGGUAUAAAGUACAGCUGGAAAGGACCCAGUUGCCUAGGGGAUGUUCCUGUGUGGCCCAUCUCUUCUUCAGGGAUGCUGAAGAUGAAACAAAUGGAGGAGUUGGUAAGAACAGUCUUAAGGAUAAGUAAGAGGCUACUCAGACUGCUGUUUCUCAGACCGUCCCUCUUCAGUACAUGGAGUCAAAUCACUGUGAUAUGGCUACUACCUGUGUGGGCCUUCACACCAAAGACAAGCAAGCUGAGGUAGCAUUCUAUGUCUCCCUCGAAUCAACCCUACUCAAGUCCAGCCAC
rnacentral:lncRNA from 1 species